CAUGGCUCAGGAUGAACGCUAGCGGCAGGCUUAACACAUGCAAGUCGAGGGUAUGGUUUUCGGACCAAGAGACCGGCGCACGGGUGCGUAACGCGUAUGCAAUCACCUUUUGCAGAGGGAUAGCCCAGAGAAAUUUGGAUUAUACCUCAUAGUAUAGCAGUUUCGCAUGAAACCACUAUUAAAGUCACAACGGCAAAAGAUGAGCAUGCGUCCCAUUAGCUAGUUGGUAAGGUAACGGCUUACCAAGGCUACGAUGGGUAGGGGUCCUGAGAGGGAGAUCCCCCACACUGGUACUGAGACACGGACCAGACUCCUACGGGAGGCAGCAGUGAGGAAUAUUGGACAAUGGGCGCAAGCCUGAUCCAGCCAUGCCGCGUGCAGGAUGACGGUCCUAUGGAUUGUAAACUGCUUUGUACAGGAAGAAACACUCCCUCGUGAGGGAGCUUGACGGUACUGUAAGAAUAAGGAUCGGCUAACUCCGUG
rnacentral:rRNA from 1 species